rnacentral:rRNA from 1 species
GACGAACGCUGGCGGCGCGCCUAAUACAUGCAAGUAGAACGCACAGUUUAUACCGUAGCUUGCUACACCAUAGACUGUGAGUUGCGAACGGGUGAGUAACGCGUAGGUAACCUGCCUGGUAGCGGGGGAUAACUAUUGGAAACGAUAGCUAAUACCGCAUAAUAUUAAUUAUUGCAUGAUAAUUAAUUGAAAGGUGCAAUUGCACCACUACCAGAUGGACCUGCGUUGUAUUAGCUAGUAGGUGAGGUAACGGCUCACCUAGGCGACGAUACAUAGCCGACCGGAGAGGGUGAUCGGCCACACUGGGACUGAGACACGGCCCAGACUCCUACGGGAGGCAGCAGUAGGGAAUCUUCGGCAAUGGACGAAAGUCUGACCGAGCAACGCCGCGUGAGUGAAGAAGGUUGUCGGAUCGUAAAGCUCUGUUGUAAGAGAAGAACGGGUGUGAGAGUGGAAAGUUCACACUGUGACGGUAUCUUACCAGAAAGGGACGGCUAACUACGUG